GCCUACGGGACGCAGCAGUGGGGGAUAUUGCACAAUGGGGGGAACCCUGAUGCAGCGACGCCGCGUGGGUGAAGAAGCGCCUCGGUGCGUAAAGCCCUGUCAGCAGGGAAGAAAAUGACGGUACCUGAAGAAGAAGCCCCGGCUAACUACGUGCCAGCAGCCGCGGUAAUACGUAGGGGGCAAGCGUUAUCCGGAUUUACUGGGUGUAAAGGGGGCGCAGACGGCGAUGCAAGCCAGGAGUGAAAGCCCGGGGCCCAACCCCGGGACUGCUCUUGGAACUGCGUGGCUGGAGUGCAGGAGGGGCA
rnacentral:rRNA from 1 species